GGGGUUGUGGCUCAGUGGUAGAGCACUCACCUAGCAUGUGGGAUAUCCUGGGUUCAAUCCUCAGCACCA
rnacentral:tRNA from 1 species